rnacentral:rRNA from 1 species
GACGAACGCUGGCGGCGUGCUUAACACAUGCAAGUCGAACGGAAAGGCCCUGCUUUUGUGGGGUGCUCGAGUGGCGAACGGGUGAGUAACACGUGAGUAACCUGCCCUUGACUUUGGGAUAACUUCAGGAAACUGGGGCUAAUACCGGAUAGGAGCUCCUGCUGCAUGGUGGGGGUUGGAAAGUUUCGGCGGUUGGGGAUGGACUCGCGGCUUAUCAGCUUGUUGGUGGGGUAGUGGCUUACCAAGGCUUUGACGGGUAGCCGGCCUGAGAGGGUGACCGGUCACAUUGGUACUGAGGUACGCCCCGGUCUCCUACGGGAGGCAGCAGUGGGGAAUAUUGCACGAUGGGCUGAAGCCUGAUGCAGCGACGCCGCGUGCGGGAUGACGGCCUUCGGGUUGUAAUCCGCUUUCGCCUGUGACGAAGCGUGAGUGACGGUAAUGGGUAUAUAAGCACCGGCUAACUACGUG